UACGAGGGGUGCAAGCGUUGCUCGGAAUUAUUGGGCGUAAAGGGUAGGUAGGUGGUCUCAUUUGUCUAGGGUGAAAGCCUUGAGCUUAACUCAAGAAGUGCCCUAGAAACGGUGAGACUGGAGUCCUGGAGAGGGUCGUGGAAUUCCCGGUGUAGCGGUGAAAUGCGCAGAUAUCAGGAGGAACACCAAUGGCGAAGGCAGCUCGCUGGGACGGUACUGACGCUGAGACGCGAAAGCGUGGGGAGCAAACAGG
rnacentral:rRNA from 1 species